rnacentral:rRNA from 1 species
UGAGGAAUAUUGGUCAAUGGGCGGGAGCCUGAACCAGCCAAGCCGCGUGAGGGAGGAAGGCCCUAUGGGUCGUAAACCUCUUUUGUCAGGGAACAAAGUCGAGUAUGUAUACUAGUCUGAGUGUACCUGAAGAAAAAGCAUCGGCUAACUCCGUGCCAGCAGCCGCGGUAAUACGGAGGAUGCGAGCGUUAUCCGGAUUUAUUGGGUUUAAAGGGUGCGUAGGCGGCGGUGCAAGUCAGCGGUAAAAGCCCGGGGCUCAACCCCGGCGAGCCGUUGAAACUGCAGUGCUAGAGAAGGCGAGAGGUACGCGGAAUGCGCAGUGUAGCGGUGAAAUGCUUAGAUAUUGCGCAGAACUCCGAUUGCGAAGGCAGCGUACUGGCGCCUGACUGACGCUGAGGCACGAAAGCGUGGGGAUCGAACAGGAUUAGAUACC